ensembl:lncRNA
CACACGCUAGAUGCAUACACGCACAUAAUUGAAUUGCUCAUCUAUUUAAACUGUACAACAUCCCAAGAAUAAAUCUGCCUUCAUUCUCCUUCAUACAAGCUCUAACCUGCAGCAUGAGUUCUAUGCUGUUUCUUGUCUGUGUUGUCACUCUUACAAUAGGAAUUCCAUCUCACUGACGAUUAUGUUGAUAAUGUUCUAGCUUGGUGAUGGAAAACUUACUAUAAACUGUCAUUGUAGGAAUCUGGAAAAGCAACACAUUACCAUGUAUAGCUGCAUAGCUGAAUAUUUAUAACGUAAUCUUAACUAGCUAUUGGUCAUUUUAAUUUUGGUGUGACUGACAGAAAACAACCUAAUAACUGAGUGCAUUUAUACAGCCCUUUUCCAGAUACUCAAAGUGCUGGUAGGGGGAAAUUCACCUCUUCCACCACCAAUGUGUAGCACCCUAAGGUGAUGCACGGCUACAAUUUGUGCCAGAACUCUCACAGCACUUAAGCUAUCAGGUGGAGAGGUGAGGAGAGGUAUAUUCCAAUUGGGAAUCAAGGGGAUGAUUAGUUGGCCAUGAUGGAAAUGGGUCCGGUUCGGGAAUUUAGCGAGGACACCAGGGUUAACAUCCCUAAUCUUGCGAUAAGUGCAAUGUUUUUUUUAUGACCACAGAGAGUCAGUACACUCGUUUAAUGUCCCAUUCGAAAGGUGGGUGAAACAAAACACAACACAACAACACAACCACACCGACAAACAAACACUACCACAGAAACAAACAGUACAACCAUACAGUGAACAACAGUUAAGAAACGAAACAAUGCCCUAUUAUUUGUGCCAGAACGGAGAGGUGAGGAGUGAUACAGUAUAUUCCAGAGUAAAGUGCUUGGAAUUGACACCAAUCUCUUCAAUGUGGUCAACCAAGUAUGGGGAAAUGUGUGCACGGUAUUAUGUUUAAGGAAGUGCUUUGUGAGCGUGCACACCAAGAACACUUUACAUUCAUCAAACUACUAACAUAUAAAACCAACAACCAAUGGAAAUUAUAGUACGCCUUUAAAAUACAUGCCCAAAGUCAUUUCUAACCAUGUCACUGGUCUGUCCAUAAUGCUUACAAGAUUGGAAUGUCCACAGUGCAAGGUGUUCUACAUUGGACGGGCAAAGAGACGCCUUCAAGACCGCUUAGCGGAACACAAGUAUGCCAUACGGGUAGGCAAUGAAGACUACCCCAUGGCAAGGCACUACAAGUCCCUACACCAUGGCAACCCUGACUCCCUACAAGCUAUGGGUAUUGAUCAUAUUCCGGCCGCUAUUAGAAAAGGGGACCGUCUUAAACAGUUAAACCAAAGGGAAAGUUUUGGGAUUUACAAACUACAGGCCACUAAAUACUCUGGUUUAAUUAAGAUAUGGAUUUACAAACUACAGGCCACUAAAUACCCUGGUUUAAUGAAGAUAUGGAUUUACAAACUACAGGCCACUAAAUACCCUGGUUUAAUGAAGAUAUAGAUUUACAAACUACAGGCCACUAAAUACCCUGGUUUAAAUUAAGAUAUGGAUUUACAGACUACAGGCCACUAAAUACCCUGGUUUAAAUUAAGAUAUGGAUUUACAGACUACAGGCCACUAAAUACCCUGGUUUAAAUGAAGAUAUGGAUUU